ACUUGUUCCGAUUAUCCCAUGC
rnacentral:miRNA from 1 species